rnacentral:rRNA from 1 species
UACGUAGGGGGCGAGCGUUGUCCGGAUUUAUUGGGCGUAAAGAGCUCGUAGGCGGUUCGAUAAGUCGGACGUGAAAUCUCCACGCUCAACGUGGAGGGGCCGUUCGAUACUGUCGUGACUCGAGUCCGGUAGGGGAGUGUGGAAUUCCCGGUGUAGCGGUGAAAUGCGCAGAGAUCGGGAGGAACACCCGUGGCGAAGGCGGCUCUCUGGGACGGUACUGACGCUGAGACGCGAAAGCGUGGGGAGCGAACAGG